GAGAACAACUUUAUUCACAAAAUAACAUAGAUGUCUGAAAAACUUAUUACUCAACAAUAUUUUUACAGGUUUAUACAGAUUCAUACAGUGCAGUGAGCUCUUUAAAGAGCACAAGAAGCGCUGGAAUUCGGGUUUUAUAGACCCUGAAAAAUAAAAAGUAAAAAGAAAAUCAGUUAAAUGAAAUACUGUACGUUAAGAGAAACACAAAGGUAGACAAGUCACUGAAAACUAAAAAAGUCCAUAAAAGAGAAAAGAAUUUAUGAAAAACAUUUAUAACAUCAUUAGAAAGAACUGCAGUUUAAGUACAGAAUCUAACAGGAAACACUGUCAGAGUUGUUUGAACCUGUAGACAUGAGAUUGAGAAGUAAGGAGUGACUUUAUAGUGUUACCAUGGUUACAAAGUGCUUUAUAAAUGAAAACAAAAUAGAAAUAAAAGAGAAAUGUGAGGAGACCAAUGACUCAAAAUCUCAAAGGUCACUAACAUGGACAAGAUUCAACAACAUCAGAGAUAAAAACAGAAAGAAAAGGAGAUCAUGUCAAAAAAGAAGGUCACAAAAAAUCUGGACCAGCAUGAAGCAGGUUAAAAAGGACUAUAUGUGUAAAUGCACAUCUGUACAAAUACAAACACAAUGUUAGUGUUAUAUAGUGAGUAGUGCGGGUAACGUAACGUGAAAGUAACAGCAUAGCUUCAUGAGUGGCAAGAGAGUCAGGGUAACAGCAAAAGUGUGCGUGCGAGCAUGAGUGUGUUAGUGUGUGUGUGUGUGUAAAAAAGAAGAAAAAAAUAGAUUAAAAAAAAGAACGAGCUCACAAAUGAAAAUAGUGAUUCAACUUGAUGCUUGUAUUGAUGUUUUCUCUAAAUUGUUCGAAUGUAACUCAAGUUUAGCUGCUCUGUGUGUCAGUCUCUCUGUGUGGAAUAUAUCACUCAUUAAUCUUAUAGUUUAAGGCUAAAAACUCACAAAAGUCUGUUGUAGCUAAUUAGCAUUGUCCUUGUUCCUUUGGUUUUAGUAAAAGACUCCUAAAAUGAUCACAACUUUCACCGCAAUUUUUCAGAAAAGCUGCUGCAAAAUCUGGUAUUUUAGACCGAAACAAUCACAAAAAAAAUCCUGGCUAAUCCAGGAGGGACUGGUUAAUACAAACACUAUCAUACACACAUUAACAUCUAUAAAUCAAAAAACUUCAAGAAGAAAGAUCAAACUUGUUAUACUGUUCAACUCAGAAUAAAAGCAGCUGAUCAAAGAUGAAAACACAUCCAUAGAUCAUCUUCUGUAAAAAAGUGUUUUUAAAAUAUGAUCAGCAGAUUUAACCAGAGAGGUCCUUCCUCGUCUCUCUGCUGCUAUGUCUGCUCUGAGUGUCAUGAUAACUUCCUGUUGGUUAGUUUAUUCCUGUUUUUGUAAUACAGUUGUAUUUU